rnacentral:lncRNA from 1 species
AUGAGUGGAUCCGUUUCCGUGGGGAUGCACCGGGGGCUGCCGCAGCAGAGUGUGAUUUCAGCUCCGUGGUGGAGACUUACUACGUACUCUGUAACGCGGACUCAUCUGUCAACGGUGCAUCUAACAGCCGUGCCUGUGAAGAGCAGAACAGCCUCUGAAGCCGCCUUCCUUGCUCAGCGCUCACCCACAGGCCACUGGCAAGCUCAGCUCCACUGCACCUGCCCCAGGCCGGGCUGCAAAGCCCGCUGUUUAAAGUGAGUCGGCUCCUCAAGAUGCUCAGCAGAGCCUUGUCUGAUAACACAGCUGCCGAGGGGGCCAGGGCACGCAACCCUGCGAAGGCCCCAGUGGGCGGGAAGCUGAGGCUGCGGCCGCUUGCAGCGCCCUGCUCCUGGGGGAGCUUCCUCGGCUGGGGUGCUCCAGGGAGAUGCGAGCUGGGGCAGGUGGAGGAGACCGCAGAAAAUGGUGUGGAUCUGUGAACGGCGGAUCCUCGGCACUGCAGGAGUUGUACUGGAUUUCGGACUCCCUUCCCCAAGUGAUGAAAAACAAAACAAGGCUUGUUUUAAAAAAAAGUAAAGGAAACCUUAUCUCCUGCUAAAGAUUUGAAAAAUAUCGGUGAGAGAGGGGAUGAAAAAGAAUGAAGAUGUGUCAUGCGCGUGGACCAGCUCCCCAGGAUGAGCGCGAUCACCGUAUCCUGCCAACAUGGAGUAGUACAAAUAAAAUUUAAAAAAUAAGAUGAAAACCCCUGUAAUCCUUCACUUAGAGGUAUCCCUUGCAGUGUUUGCGUUUGCUAUGAUUUCUUCUAUUUUUUAGUCCUUUUUCUGCAUAUAUAUGUACUUAAAAAUUGCAGAAGAUGAUGAAAUCAUCAACCUAGUUUUAAAGUCUGAGUUUUUAUAAAAAUCAAUAUAUCACGAACCUGUAAGUAAUUCCUCCCUCUUUCUCCCGCACCUGAAUUUUGCAUAGAAUUGUGAAUUGGAGAUACUGUAAUUUGAUGAUUUUCCAAUUUUGUGUUUUGUGUGUUAUAAACAAUGUAUAACUUCUUGACUAUUCUAGAGUAGGUAUAUUCCUUGAAAAGGGCGAUUUUUCAUGGCUUUCCCUUGCAGUUUAUGGAAUAUACCCCCAGAACUGACUGAGACCACUGUCUCCCUGUGUCCCUCUCCUCCAAGGUGGUUAUAACUUUUAAAAAAACUCUCCUCAAAAUUUGGUAGAUGAAAGAGGUAUAUGGUUGUUUUUAUUUUUAUUUACUUGCUUUCUAGUAAGGGGAAAUACUUUCUUAUGUUUAUUGCCAAUUCAUAUUUCUUUUUUUUCUAGAAUUGCUUAUAUGGUGGCAUUGCAUUUGAGACUCGUGUUGUUCUUAACCUGUAAUAAUUUUUAAUGUAUUAAGAAAAAUAAGUUUUCUAUCCUACCUGGGCAAUGGUUACUCCAUUUAACAUUUGCCUUUGAUUUUAGGGUAUGUUUUAAAAAGAAUCAUUUAAAAAAUUGUAUGUAGUCAAAUCUAUCAGUCUUUUCUUAUAUAAUGAAUUGUCUUUAUAUGUAUUCUGAAAAGUGCUUUAAAAAAUCAGAUAAAUACCUAUUUAUAUGCUUUUACUUUAUGCACUUUUAUAGUCUACUGAAUCUGUCUGGAAUUUACUUUGGAAUAUAAUAGGAGUUAAUAGAAAGAAUUUUUUCCCCUUGCCCAAAUAGUUGAAGGUUAGCUGCACACUGUAUAAGAAAAGGCCCGCCCUCCCCUGCGAUGCGAGUGCAGCCAUCGUUGUAGGUUCAUUUCCUGUGUGCAGUAAGGGUAUCAGCGCUGGCUCCUGGUUUCCUGUUCGGUUCCAUGAGUUUUCCCGUCCCCCCAUCUGAGCAUCCUCUCGUUACCCUGAUUCUAAAGCAGGUCUUGUCUUGCAGCAGAGUUAGUGGAGAGAGCAAGAGCUUUCGAGAGGUAACGUGGGAACCUCCCUGCUUCCCUCUGACAGUGGGGCCUGUGGUCCCCACCUGUGAACAGGGAUAAGAAGCAUCCGUCUCCCUUGUAGGUGCUGGAGGGCUGAGAAUACGUUCGUGAGAUCCCUGUACCCAGGUACCGUGCUGACACUACUCUUUCCAAGGUCCAGCGCAGGUGUCCACAGGCCUUUGCUCUUGGCCAUGUCCGACGUGUCAGGCCGUGUUAAUUUGGCCCUCACCACUCCAGGGACUCUGUUUUCCUCGUGUCCACUUGUCCCCUCACUAUGUGGCAGCAGUGCCAGGCACGGCUCCAGGGGCUGGUGAUUGGCGACACCCCUGCCCGGGUGGAUCUGGCCUUUCAGUGGUGUGCGGAGACUGAAUAAUCACGAGUAUUUCCGGUCGAGCUCAGCGCCAGGAGGAGCAUGAAGCAGGGUGUUGGCAGAGCUGCUGCUGAGCCUGGGGUGGGGCUGGGGGCGGGCUCCCCAGGCCCAGGAGAGAGAGGCAAGCGAAGGCACGGGAUGCAGAGGCCUGGACGGAGCCCAGAGUGAGCGCAGAUGCACGCAGUGUGGACGGGGAGGGAGAACACGGGGCUUGAGACCAGAGAACGGGGAGGGCGAGCACAGCUCUGAAGCUGAGGUGACUUCGCAGUGUGUACCCUGGUUCCCUGUCCACCCAACUCCAGCUCAGCCCUCAAGGCCCAGCUAGGGACAUGUGCCCCUUUGGGUGGCCCAGUUCCUCUCCGAGUGCCUGUUCCUCACGCUGCUGCCUCCUUAGUUUUGUGCCCUGGUCUCUCGGGUGGGAGCUCCUCAGGGCCGGGGACUGGGACACGGGCUGCUUCUCUGUCCCCCCUUAGGGUGUGGUACAGUGUUGGGAAUAUCACUUGCUAUUGUAGAAGGAAGCUUAGGAUCAGGCUAUUUUAUUUAUUUAUUUAUUUUUUAAAACUAUGUUAUUGGUACAUUUUGGGUAACAUAAUGGUCACAUUCAUCAUAGGGAAUUUGUACCCGUACGUGAUAUAACUUGAUUCUUAUUUUCCCGCUCCCCUGCCCUCCCUUCAACCCCUCUUCCCCUCCUCAUUUUCAAAAGCUUUGAGGGGCUGGGGAUUUAGUUCAGCGGCACAGUGCCUGCCUAGCAAGCGCAAGGUCGUGAGUUUGAUUCCUGGUACCAGAAGAAAAACAAACAAAAGCUUUGUUUCCACUUUUCUUUUUUCAGUUUUUUCCCUUCCUUCUUUUCCCCCUCCCCUCUCCCUGUUCGCCUUCCCAUUUGAACAUUUUCUUCCUAUUUCACAAUAGCUAUUAAACAUUUUGGUCCUUAUUUACCAUUGUUUCUCAUACCAGAGGAACCAUGCGAUAUUUUGAACGUAUGUGUCUGAUUUAUUUCACCUAUGAGUAUGGUCUCUAGGUCCAUCCAUUUACCUGGGAAUGUCUCAAGCUUAUCCUUCUGUGUGGCUGAGUAGUGCUCCUUUGUAUAAAAACACACAUCUUUGUCCAUUCCUUGGUUGAGAGGCAUGUGGGCUGUUUCUAAGAUUUAGCUAUUACAAACUGUGCCGUUAUAAACAUGGGUGUGUUUAUAUCACUGUGGUAUGAUGUUUUUAAUUCUUUAAGGAAGAUAUCAAGAAGGGGAAUAGGUGGGUCAAAUGGAACUUCUAGUUUCUUGAGGACGUCUCCCCAC